CAUGAAAACUGAAGUGUUUCUCUGAUGCCAGUUCUGUGCUAACGUCUCAGCUACAAGCUCCAGCCAGAGAGUUUACAUUGAAGUAUAAUGAUGAUUAUGGUCAAAUGAGAGCUUCAUCACUGCAGAUCCCUGAGCUCUUGUCUGAUGAUUCCUCACGGCAGAAUGAUUGGAUUCUCUCUGUCUCUUCAUCGUCUGAUUUUCAGCUCCCAAAUCAAAUCUCCUCCUCGGGGGGAGAGACUGCUGUAAUGUAGGCCACUCUGCAGGGAUCUCGCUGGCCACUUGAAGAUUCAAAGAGAGAAACUUUGGGAUCAGGAGACUUUUGAACAAGAGCUUUCUCCAGAGGGGACACAGUCCUGAGGCCUGAGGCCUGGUCGACAGGCUGCACCCUGUGGGGGUCCACUUGUGUCCAGAUGAGUGGAUGAGCGAAUUCCGUGAGGACAGGAGCCUGCCAUUGCUGUUCCCACUCCGGCCUGCAGUGACCGAUGAUACUUGCCUCCAGGUCAUUGACCUUGUAUCUGGUUCUCUCACUGACAACUGGUUGCUGGGGAUGAUGUUAUUCUGUGCAUGUCUGAUUCCUCUUUCAGUUAUACUUUUGUUAUCCAGCUUUCUAUUAACGGUUGCUGAUUGCAGACAACACUUCCCACUGUUUUGCUCCUCCAGUCUCUUUGGUUUCGCUCCUCAGAUGGAAUCAUUAGGAAAGGAGAAAUUGCCCAUUAGGAAAGGAGUGUUACCGUGUUGCUGCUCCUCCUUCUCCUGUCAGUCCAUUCCUCAC